AAGCAGAUAGAGUCUUAAGAGAGAUGAUAUCGUACUUUUUGUAGAACGGGCCAGCGAGUUAUGGUGUGCGGCAAGGUUAAGUAAUGAAGUUACGGAGCCGUAGGGAAACCGAGUCUGAAUAGGGCGAAAUAGUCGUAUGCCAUAGACCCGAAACCAGGUGAUCUAUCCAUGAGCAGGUUGAAGUGAAAGUAAAAUUUCAUGGAGGACCGAACCGGGUAGCGUUUAAAAGCUAUCGGAUGACUUGUGGAUAGGGGUGAAAAGCCAAUCGAACUUGGAGAUAGCUGGUUCUCCUCGAAAUAGCUUUAGGGCUAGCCUCAAUUUAGUUUACAGGGGGUAGAGCACUGAAUACCGUAGGGGUGUUAGACAUUACCGAAAGUUAUCAAACUGCGAAUACCUGAUAAAUGAUGAUUGGGAGUCAGACUAUGUGGGAUAAGCUUCAUAGUCAAAAGGGAAAGAGCCCAGACCACCAGCUAAGGUCCCUAAAUAUAGAUUAAGUGGUAAAGGAUGUUUUACUACUCAGACAACCAGGAUGUUGGCUUAGAAGCAGCCAUACAUUUAAAGAGUGCGUAAUAGCUCACUGGUCAAGUGGUAGAGCGCCGAAAAUGAACGGGGCUAAAAUCUAAUACCGAAGCUGUGGACUAAUUAAAUUAGUGGUAGAGGAGCAUUGUGUAAGGGGUGAAGCUAAGUUGUAAGACGAAGUGGACUUUACAGAAGAGAGAAUGCUGGCAUGAGUAGCGAAAAGGAGGGUGAGAAUCCCUCCCGUCGAAAGCCUAAGGAUUCCUGAGGAAGGCUCGUCCUCUCAGGGUAAGUCGGGACCUAAGCCCAGGCUGAAAAGCGUAAGCGAUGGACAACAGGUUGAGAUUCCUGUACUAUCUUCGAAUGUUUGAGAGAAGUACUGACGCAGGAGGAUAUGUUGAGCGUGUGAAUGGUAGAGCACGUCUAAGCAAGUAGAUAGAGAAUAGAGGCAAAUCCCUAUUCUUAAUAUCGAGAUGUGAUGGGGAGCGAAAAACAAGUAGUGAAGCAACAAAUUCCAAACUGCCAAGAAAAGGUACUAUUGAGUGAGAAGAUACCCGUACCAAAACCGACACAGGUAGGCAAGGAGAGAAUCCUAAGACGCGCGGAAGAACCUUUGUUAAGGAACUCGGCAAAAUGACCCCGUAACUUCGGGAGAAGGGGUACCAUUAGAUGUGAGAUACUUGCGUAUGGAGCAUAGAGUGGUCGCAGAGAAUAGGCCCAAGCAACUGUUUACCAAAAACACAAGUCUCUGCUAAAUCGAAAGAUGAAGUAUAGGGGCUGACACCUGCCCGGUGCUGGAAGGUUAAGGGGAAAUGUUAGAGCAAUCGAAGCAUAGAACUUAAGCCCCAGUAAACGGCGGCCGUAACUAUAACGGUCCUAAGGUAGCGAAAUUCCUUGUCGGGUAAGUUCCGACCCGCACGAAAGGUGUAAUGAUUUGGGCACUGUCUCAACAAAGGAUCCGGUGAAAUUGUAGUAGUCGUGAAGAUGCGACUUACCCACGAUAGGACGGAAAGACCCCGUGGAGCUUUACUGUAGGCUGGCAUUGGAAUUUGGUAUUAAAUGUACAGGAUAGGUGGGAGACUGAGAAACGAGAGCGCCAGUUUUCGUGGAGUCAAUGUUGGGAUACCACUCUUUUGAUACUAAAUUUCUAACUUGAUACUCUGAAGCGAGUAUAAGGACACUGUCAGUUGGGCAGUUUGACUGGGGCGGUCGCCUCCUAAAGAGUAACGGAGGCGUUCAAAGGUUCCCUCAGAAUGGAAGGAAAUCAUUCAAAGAGUGCAAAGGCAAAAGGGAGCUUAACUGCGACACCAACAAGUGGAGCAGAUAGGAAACUAGGACUUAGUGAUCCGGUGGUACCGAGUGGAAGGGCCAUCGCUCAACGGAUAAAAGCUACCCCGGGGAUAACAGGCUUAUCUCCCCCAAGAGUUCACAUCGACGGGGAGGUUUGGCACCUCGAUGUCGGCUCGUCUCAUCCUGGGGCUGGAGUAGGUCCCAAGGGUUGGGCUGUUCGCCCAUUAAAGAGGCACGCGAGCUGGGUUCAGAACGUCGUGAGACAGUUCGGUCCCUAUCCAUCGUGGGCGAAGGAAAUUUGAGAGGAGCUGUCCUUAGUACGAGAGGACCGGGAUGGACAGACCGCUGGUGUAUCAGUUAUCAUGCCAAUGGUAAUGCUGAAUAGCUAAGUCUGGAAGGGAUAAGUGCUGAAGGCAUCUAAGCACGAAGCCCCCCUCAAGAUGAGAUUUCCUGUUGC
rnacentral:rRNA from 1 species